AUAUGUUCGCAAACUAAGACAAGAAUGCUCGUGGAACUCAAUAUGCAGAUAGAUAUUUUAAUUACGGUGUAAGUUGUUUUUUUUUAACAGAUACCUUUGGUAACAAAAUGAAAAGUUCUUAGAAAGUCCUGUAGUAAUUAUGUUUAGCCACAAGAUGGUGUUGGUAACAGUUAGAAUAACAGUUCAAAUAUAAAGUCUUGUAUUGAUGCGGUUUGGUCACCUGAUGGCGUGCAGAAUAACAAAACAAAUGGUAGCAGUGAAAAAUCAACAAUCCUGAAAUGCAGGCAAUAAGGUAAGAACUAAACAAAGAAGUACUGUCUGAAUAAGAGGAAUAACAACGUCUUACUUUCUUCUUAGAAACAGUCCAUAUGAGGAGGAACGGACCCCAGAACAUAAGGAUUUCACUCAGCAAGAUUACAGGAAACGACCACAGAAGUCGGACUGGGGUCACCAGGACAACUUCACAGUAGGUGGAGACUAGGGGAGCAGUGUGGUGAAACGAUUCUUACCACGAUGUACCGGGAGCGGUGGUGCAGGGUAUAGCCCAGUGUUAAGCAGGUUAGAGAAAUGCUGUAGGCUUGCGCCAGAAACCAGAGCGGUACUAACAAGUAGCCACAGUUGCUCCAGCA